rnacentral:pre_miRNA from 1 species
CUUCAAAGCGGCAGUGCAGCAUGGAGCCUGGGGUCAGCGGGCGACUCUGACCUCUAUUGACCCUGGGCUCCAUGCUGCGCUGCCGCUUUGAAA